UUAGGUCUUAUAGAAGCAAAACGUGAAGUCAGUCUCCCGCUUGGAAAACAUUUCCCCCUCUAAUCCAAGGCGUCACUAAUUGUUGGGAAUGUGAGACGGCGAGAAAUCAUGUGAGUCAUACGCUGCAAGAGUGUGUCAACGUCAACAUGGGCUUAUAAGGACAAAAUUCAGGCGGCCGGCGCGGGACAAAAGUGGGCAAUAGAAAGUCCUCGCUAUAUUAGCUUCAGUGAGUAUUUUGCGUGUGCUACGUGUUUUGUUUGGUUGCCGUGGCGACGCCAGAGUCUGCCAGGUGAGAUACAGAUGGGAGAGCAUGUUACGUGCGUCAAUGUAAACAUCACGGGAAAGGCCACUUCCUGGUUUGUGGCGGAUGAUCUCAUACGCUAACAAUGAGCAACAACUGCAACAACAACAAAAAAAUCUGAAAACCGCAACGAGCGUACUCACGAGCAAACGAACGAGAGAAAACAAGCUUCAGAAGAGUCCCGUCCUCUGACCGAGUGAUUGCUCAAGUCCAUUUUGAAGUUACUCCUUCCGAACCCGCAGAGGAGAACGAGGAACGACGGACAAAUUAACUCCAAGCGGGACGACGCGUUUGUUACAAACCGGGAAAGCCGUCCUUUGAGCAGAUCCGUUGUAAAUCUUAAUUCCGAUUAAAUGUCCCCUUUGGU